rnacentral:rRNA from 1 species
GACGAACGCUGGCGGCGUGCUUAACACAUGCAAGUCGAACGGAAAGGCCCCAGCUUGCUGGGGUACUCGAGUGGCGAACGGGUGAGUAACACGUGGGUGAUCUGCCCUGCACUCUGGGAUAAGCCUGGGAAACUGGGUCUAAUACCGGAUAGGACCGUGCUUUAGUGUGUGCGGUGGAAAGUUUUUCGGUGCAGGAUGAGCCCGCGGCCUAUCAGCUUGUUGGUGGGGUAAUGGCCUACCAAGGCGGCGACGGGUAGCCGGCCUGAGAGGGUGUACGGCCACAUUGGGACUGAGACACGGCCCAGACCCCUACGGGAGGCAGCAGUGGGGAAUAUUGCACAAUGGGCGCAAGCCUGAUGCAGCGACGCCGCGUGGGGGAUGACGGCCUUCGGGUUGUAAACCCCUUUCGGCAGGGACGAAGCUUUUGUGACGGUACCUGCAUAAGAAGCACCGGCUAACUACGUG